rnacentral:tRNA from 17 species
GAGCAGAGGACUGAAAAUC